GUCAGAUACUGUUUCACCCAAAAGACAGAGUCAACCCGGAAAAUAAAUGCAACUCUAUAAACGAGAUCCCAUGCAAAUCAUGCAAUAAAUCAUUCAUCGGGGAGACAGGGAGGAACUUCACCACAAGAAAAACAGAACACAAGGAGUGUGAGAAGGAGACAGCAACAAGACAAGAGCAAUAAAACAACAAGCAGAACAGGAACACUACAAGUCAGCCAUUACCGACCACUGCAAAAGAGAAAAUAACAUCAUGGACUGGGAAAAGGCCAGAGUCAUCCGCACCGAAGAAAACAAACAUCAGCGUCGGAUCAGGGAGGCCAUUGAGAUCCGCAAGCGGGGCCCGAGGACCAUCAACAGGGACGAGGGAGCCUACAUGCUCUCUACCACCUGGAACAGCAUUCUGGAGAGGUGAACGGACAGCAGAGGGCGUGACUCACCUGUCAGAUUUGACAGGUGAGUCACACCCUCUGCCAUGCCUUCAUCCAUCAGCUGAUAAAGACGCGUCACAACCACACCAGUGACACUGACGAAGGCGGAAGUACAAGUCGAAACAUGUCAGGUGCUUCAGUUUAUUGCUGGCUGAGCAAAAAACCCGAAGAGGACGAGAGAGCGCUGACAUGGACUAAUCAAGGACGGUCCUAAUUUUUAGUUUAUUUUUAAAACUCAGCUAAAUAUUUUAUUUUAAAGUGGGCUACUUUUUGUUGUAUUCAGUGGUUAUAACAGCUCAAAUUAAAAAAAAGAUGAGAACUUUCAAAAGUUUACAAGUUCUGUUAUUUUGUGCGGCUCCCUACAAAUGUUUUUGCAGACAAGGGGCCAAAAUGGCUCUUUUGAUAAUAAAGGUUGCAGACCCCUGGUCUAAAGAAAUGAUUGAAACAAUACUGUGUACAUUGAAGAUCACACAACACAUAAAUUACUCAUACUAUCAACUACUACUACUGCUACAAUACUGUGUACUAGUAUGUACUAGACCAGGGGUGGGCAAACCUUUUGACUCGCGGGCCGAACUGGGUUCUAAAUUUGGACCGGAGGGCCGAACCAGGAGCCGAUGGACGUAGUGUUUGUGUGAAGUAAUAUAAGCGACCUGUAAAGGUCAUUGCAUAAAAGAUUUUGGCCUUUAGUAGGUAGUAAAGCAUGGGUAUUCCAAACAAGUUUUUUGAAAACAAAUGCAUUUACAGCAUUAAAAAAAAAAUCACUAAAAACCUGCUAUCAGUGAUUCUCAUAAAAUACGACACUAUUAUUAUGAAUAA